rnacentral:rRNA from 1 species
UACGUAGGCAGCAAGCGUUGUUCGGAGUUACUGGGCGUAAAGGGUGCGUAGGCGGUCCUAUAAGUAUGGUGUGAAAUCUCCCCGGCUUAACUGGGAGGGUGCGCUAUAGACUGUGGGACUAGAGUGUGGGAGAGGAAAGUGGAAUUCCUGGUGUAGCGGUGAAAUGCGUAGAUAUCAGGAGGAACACCGGUGGUGUAAACGGCUUUCUGGACCAUAACUGACGCUGAGGCACGAAAGCGU